GCAGCUGUUAUUGACAGCUACGCUAUGACCGCCAUCUGGAAACAUACAUUUGGAAGAAUCCGGGUAUGUACAUGAUUGGAAUGACUUUGCUUUUGUAAAUGUUGCAAAUGUGCAUUUUUCAACAGGAAUGUAAUACUUUUGCAACUACUCUCAGGUUGAUCCAAUGGCACACACAGUCAUCGUGGGAAUUGUGAACGAGAACCAUCACUGGAUGUUGGUGGUAAUGUACCCCCAUGAGAAGAAAACCCUCUUCUUGGAUCCACUUGGAGAAGGGAAAGGCAAAACGAAGGUGUGCCUGCAGUCUACAAGUUUGCAGAGAACAUUUUACUGGGG